rnacentral:rRNA from 1 species
GACGAACGCUGGCGGCGUGCCUAAUACAUGCAAGUAGAACGCUGAAGGAGGAGCUUGCUUCUCUGGAUGAGUUGCGAACGGGUGAGUAACGCGUAGGUAACCUGCCUGGUAGCGGGGGAUAACUAUUGGAAACGAUAGCUAAUACCGCAUAAUAGUAGAUGUUGCAUGACAUUUGCUUAAAAGGUGCAAUUGCAUCACUACCAGAUGGACCUGCGUUGUAUUAGCUAGUUGGUGGGGUAACGGCUCACCAAGGCGACGAUACAUAGCCGACCUGAGAGGGGGAGCGGCCACACUGGGACUGAGACACGGCCCAGACUCCUACGGGAGGCAGCAGUAGGGAAUCUUCGGCAAUGGACGGAAGUCUGACCGAGCAACGCCGCGUGAGUGAAGAAGGGUUUCGGAUCGUAAAGCUCGGUUGUAAGAGAAGAACGAGUGUGAGAGUGGAAAGUUCACACUGUGACGGUAUCUUAACAGAAAGGGACGGCUAACUACGUG